UUGGAUUCAACGACCGGAAUACUUACCGGACGACAGCAAUAUGAAGGCCAGGCUGAAGACUUUGCCGGAUUAGCUGAGAGGUGGUGCAUGGCCGUCGUCAGUUCGUACUGUGAAGCAUCCUGUUAAGUCAGGCAACGAGCGAGACCCACGCCCACAGUUGCCAGCGUACUCUCCGGAGUGACGGGUACACUGUGGGACCGCCGCUGCUAAAGCGGAGGAAGGAAUGGGCAACGUAGGUCAGUAUGCCCCGAAUAUCCCGGGCUACACGCGAGCUACAAUGGUUGGUACAAUGGGUAUCUACCCCGAAAGGGGACGGGAAUCUCCUAAAACCAAUCUUAGUUCGGAUUGAGGGCUGCAACUCGCCCUCAUGAAGCUGGAAUCCGUAGUAAUCGCGUUUCAACAGAACGCGGUGAAUACGUCCCUGCUCCUU
rnacentral:rRNA from 1 species